AAGAAGCGAGAUGGAGACAUUAAGCGAACCCAAAAAAGUAAGUCUCAGUUCGGAUUGAAGGCUGAAAUUCGCCUUCAUGAAGCCGGAAUUGCUAGUAAUGGCAGGUCAGCAUACUGCCGUGAAUACGUUCCCGGGCCUUGUACACACCGCCCGUCACACCAUGAGAGUUGGGAAUACCCGAAGCCUGUGAGCUAACGCAAGAGGCAGCAGUCGAAGGUAGAAUCAAUGAUUGGGGUGAAGUCGUAACAAGGUACC
rnacentral:rRNA from 1 species